ensembl:misc_RNA Metazoa_SRP Metazoan signal recognition particle RNA
GCCGGGUGUGGUGGCAUGCGCCCAUAGUCCCAGCUACUCAGGAGGCUGAGGCAGGACGAUCGAUGAGUCUAGGAGUUCUGGAAUGUAGUGCACUAUGUUGAUUGGGUGUCUUCGCUAAGUUUGGCAUCAAUAUGGUGAUCUCUCGGGAGCAGGGGACCUCUAGGUUACCUAAGGAGGGGUGAACUGGCCCAGAUUGGAAAUGGAGCAGGUGAAAACUCCCAUGCUGAUCAGUAGUGAGAUGGAGCCUGUGAAUGGCCACUGCAUUCCAGCCUGGGCAACACAGUGAGACCCUUCCUCUA